rnacentral:rRNA from 1 species
UACGUAGGGUGCAAGCGUUGUCCGGAAUUAUUGGGCGUAAAGAGCUCGUAGGCGGUUUGCUGCGUCGGCUGUGAAAUCCCGAGGCUCAACCUCGGGUCUGCAGUCGAUACGAGCAAACUAGAGUGUUGCAGGGGAGACUGGAAUUCCUGGUGUAGCGGUGAAAUGCGCAGAUAUCAGGAGGAACACCGGUGGCGAAGGCGGGUCUCUGGGCCGAAACUGACGCUGAGGAGCGAAAGCGUGGGGAGCGAACAGG